AUAGUUGAAGAAGCGGUCGACCAUGUUCUCAUUGAAGUAAGGCGUGAAGAAGAAGAGACUUCGGAAAGCGAAGAAGCCUUUGUUUCUGGAACAGAUGACCCCUGUAGUGAUUAGAAUACCACAAUUGACCUGGCCAGUCUACGGAACUACCUCUCGCGUUAUGUUCCAAAUGAAGACCCGGAUAAGCCCUAUCCUUCUCUAAUGCCAAGUCCCGUAUAACAGGACCUGGCGAAGUCCCUACUUCACGGGUGAUGAACACUCUCAGUAGAGCCUUCCUUCACCAGUUGCUGUCGUUGGUAGUGAAAGGAAGUCUAGAGGCGUCGAUUUGACAAUGUAGGGCGUGUGUCAGACUGCUUGACUUCGUGGAAAGACGGCGAAAGUUGGGGUGACUUGUCGCUGUGGCGACCGUAGCGCCUUCCUUUGUCAAUUUUGUCCACGGAAAGGCCCCGGCCAGCAACCCAAUGUUGAUCACCCUACGUGCACAGAAUAGGAUGAGGAACAUGGCGCUUAGCGACCGGAAGUUUGUGGUUUUCAAGUCGUCGUUAUUGCCCGGUGAUUCAUCGUUUUCAAGGUAUCCUCCUGUCCAUCUCCAUUGCUUGUCGAGGAGUUGGUCUCACAGCGCUCUUGAUUUGUUUGAGGCAUUUAAUGACUUGAAAGUGGUGUGGCUCGUUGUGCGUGUAGCAGCCGUUUUUUCUCCUUAUUUUUGAGAAUGAGCAGAGAAAGUUCCGGUUUCACUCCACCGUCAAAAAAGGGUAGGAAAUCUUUGCUUUGCGCUGGCCAUGUGUGCGGAUCUUGCCAGGUAUGGUUCCAACUAGGUAGCCCGUCGACUGUUGCACAUCUUCACAGCAGUGAAGACAUUAGACACCCUGCGACUGAGAAAAAAGCACCUCAAUUUUCUACUUACCUUUCCAUGGGCAGAGACGUCCAAUUUCAAUUGGGCUCUGACAGUUGCCUCUGUAAGGCGUGCUACACAGAUUGCUUGAGGCAUGCUCCAAAAAUGAUAGAAAGGCCAAGAUGGCAAAAACAUAGUCAACUAUGGCAUUGCCCUUGUGUGAUAAAGAGUCCGACAAAGAUUGCAUGUGCAAAGACAUUUCUUCUUGGCACCUUCUGUCUGAUUUAAUAGAUGCACAGCCAGAAAUGCUGAAAGUCUAUUUUAAUCUGCAUGUUGAUUUUGAUUCAUGACUUCGAAAGAUAAAGCUUUAUUUUUUAGUUAUGGGUGAUUUCUCAUUGCACAUGUGCAGUAAACGUAUACUGUAAUCUGCCCCAUGUGUUUGCCCUACUGAAGUUUGAAUGCCCAGUUGAUUUCGCACCGAGGCAUCAGCACCCCUGGUGCUAUUACUAUUAGCACCUGGUGCUAUUACUAUUAGCACAGGUAAUAGGUCUUGUGGACUGUUCAAAGACUAGACAGAUUUGGGUGGGUCAAUGAAGUCCUGGAUGUUGCAUGGCAACACAUCAGAUGUGUGACCUGCUCCUGUUUUGCUAUGAAAGUCUCAUUUGUUACUGUAUUUAUUCAAAGGUUGUGUGUGUUGACCUGACCGUCUCUUGUGUUUAUAUACUGUUUGACGUUGACACUGCUGGUAAGUACUUUGAUCAAAUGUCAAUAACACUGUUGCUUAGAAAUGUUCUGUGGCAGGCAGCAGAUCCUUCCUGAAUUGGCUCAUGGUCACAGCACACAACUGAAGCUGCACAAAGGGCAAUCACUGUGAAGAUUCCUAGGUCGACAGCAGAAUCAGUAGGACAUGCUUUACUCUGCGUAGAUCACUACGGGAGACUUACCUGUUGGGGUGUGGUGCCUCCAAAGAAUAGAAACUUGUCCAUAACUUUCUUACGCAGGGCUGUGGAAGAAAAUAGAAAAUACUGGACUGUUGGCAAGGCACUGCCACUGUUAACAUACAAUUAGAAUUGUCGCUGUCUUCUACAAUUGAGAAUAUACAGACCUGUUGUCUUGUCUGCUGACUACAAGA